GACAGAGGGUGCAAGCGUUGUUCGGAAUUACUGGGCGUAAAGCGCGCGUAGGCGGCUUGUUAAGUCGGGUGUGAAAUCCCACAGCCUAACUGUGGAAGUGCAUUCGAUACUGGCGAGCUUGAGUCCUGGAGAGGGUGGUGGAAUUCCCAGUGUAGAGGUGAAAUUCGUAGAUAUUGGGAGGAACACCGGUGGCGAAGGCGACCACCUGGACAGAGACUGACGCUGAGGUGCGAAAGCGUGGGGAGCAAAC
rnacentral:rRNA from 1 species